rnacentral:rRNA from 1 species
GCAUAGAUACUACACAGGACACCAAUUGCGAAGACAGCUCGCUAAGCUGCUACUGACGCUCAGGCACGAAAGCGUGGGGAGCGAACAGGAUUAGAUACCCUGGUAGUCCACGCUGUAAACUAUGAUCACUAGCUGUUGGCGAUAAAUUGUCAGUGGCUGAGCGAAAGCGUUAAGUGAUCCACCUGGGGAGUACGAUCGCAAGGUUGAAACUCAAAGGAAUCGACGGGGGCCCGCACAAGCGGUGGAACAUGUGGUUUAAUUCGAUGAUACGCGAGGAACCUUACCUGGGCUUAAAUGUAGAACGACGUCCUGAGAAAUCGGGAUUCCCUUCGGGGCGGACUACAAGGUGCUGCAUGGUUGUCGUCAGCUCGUGCCGUGAGGUAUCGGGUUAAGUCCCAUAACGAGCGCAACCCCUAUUGUUAGUUGCCAGCGGAUAAUGCCGGGGACUCUAACAAAACUGCCCGUGUAAACGGGAGGAAGGUGGGGAUGACGUCAAACCAGCACGGCCCUUAUGUCCAGGGCUACACACGUGUUACAAUGGCUGGAACAAAGGGCAGCUACCACGCGAGUGGAUGCUAAUCUCUAAAUCCAGUCUCAGUUCGGAUCGGAGUCUGCAAUUCGACUUCGUGAAGAUGGAAUCGCUAGUAAUCGCGCAUCAGCAAUGGCGCGGUGAAUAUGUUCCCGGGCCUUGUACACACUGCCCGUCAAGCCAUGGAAGUCAGUAGUACC